UGUUUCUCAAAACUUUGAAUAUUUUUGGAAGAUCGGAAGAAGAUUACUACGGAAAAUAUGUAGAUUAAAGGAUACGGUCUAUGCCCAAUGCCCCAUUUGAAGUAGUUUCGUGCAGUUUUUAACAAAUACACAACAAUAGAAACUGCAAGAUUUUUAUGCAAUUCAGAAAGUUGUUGUGUUAGUUACUGAACCGUGGGAACUAAUAAAAAAAAUCUGUUAACACAGAAAACUUAAUCCCUUCAUAUGCUUUAUAAGAGUUGGCAUUGAUGGAGCUCAAGGUUCACUGAAAGUCGAAAUGAACAUCUUCAACCCACAAGAGCUAUAUUCAGAGAAAAGAAAAAUGAAACAUACAUGAGUUAAUACAGUUCUUGUUUUAGGUUUUGUUUGUGGAGUACAAAAAAGUAAUUAUAAUUUAGAGAGGCUAGUUUAAGUUACUUAAGCUGAAUGAGCUAAAAUAGACAGUAGCAGCUGACCUGAAGCUUAUUAUUUGUUUACUUGGGCAUUUCUGCACACGGGGGAAAGUAUGCUUGCUGUUAUUGUGAAGAAAAAAAAGAUGACAAAAAUGGAAAGUUGAGGUUUUUCAAAGUUUAACUAAUUGGCAUCAGAAAUUUAUUGAGGAUGGUGAACUCUAUAAGCACAUGAAAAAACAUAGUAAUGUUGUUUGGCCAUGGCUAAUUGAGGAGUCUAGAGAAACUCUUGUUUUUGUUAUAGUUCCGCCUCCUGAAUUACAUUUGUAUGAAAAUAUUAUCACACAAAUAACAGACGUUCUAAUGGCUAAGAACUCAACUAAAAAUUUCUUACUUAGUAAAACUGUAACAAGGCACAGUUACAAUGGAGAAGCAUUUGAUGGACCUAACUGUCAAAAAGUAUUUCUUGCUUGGAUGAACUUAAAACUAUAGCUCCUCUGCUAAUGAUACCUUGUAUUUAAGGAAAUUUAAAUUGACUUUUAAUGAAAUUCUAAAAUGAAAAUUUCUAGAAAGAUUAAUCAAAACUUGGGUAUUUUUAGUGUGCGAAGCAUUGUCUUGUUAAUAUUUACAAAAUAUUAACAAGAAAAUGACAAGAUUUGCAACUUCAGAGCUGAGCGAUUGCCAUGAAGAAAAAUUUCGUAAAAUAGCCGUAACCUACUCUAGUAUGAGAAUGUGAAUAAUUUAUUAUAUAGUAAAAAAUAUUGCUCAGUUGUAAAUAUAAGAAGUAAUCAUAAAUAAAAAAUGUUUUCAAAAAUUA